GCCAGACUCCUACGGGAGGCAGCAGUGGGGGAUAUUGCACAAUGGGGGAAACCCUGAUGCAGCGACGCCGCGUGUGGGAAGGCGGUCCUCUGGAUUGUAAACCACUGUCCCCAGGGACGAAGAUGACGGUACCUGGGGAGGAAGCUCCGGCUAACUACGUGCCAGCAGCCGCGGUAAUACGUAGGGAGCGAGCGUUGUCCGGAAUUACUGGGUGUAAAGGGAGCGUAGGCGGGACUGCAAGUUGGGUGUCAAAUCUACCGGCUCAACCGGUAGCCGCACUCAAAACUGCAGUUCUUGAGUGAAGUAGAGGCAGGCGGAAUUCCUAGUGUAGCGGUGAAAUGCGUAGAUAUUAGGAGGAACACCAGUGGCGAAGGCGUCUUACUGGACCGAAACUGACGUUGAGGCUCGAAAGCGUGGGGAGCAAACAGGAUUAGAUACCCUCGUA
rnacentral:rRNA from 1 species